rnacentral:rRNA from 1 species
GACGAACGCUGGCGGCGUGCUUAACACAUGCAAGUCGAACGGAAAGGCCCUGCUUUUGUGGGGUGCUCGAGUGGCGAACGGGUGAGUAACACGUGAGUAACCUGCCCUUGACUUUGGGAUAACUUCAGGAAACUGGGGCUAAUACCGGAUAGGAGCUCCUGCUGCAUGGUGGGGGUUGGAAAGUUUCGGCGGUUGGGGAUGGACUCGCGGCUUAUCAGCUUGUUGGUGGGGUAGUGGCUUACCAAGGCUUUGACGGGUAGCCGGCCUGAGAGGGUGACCGGCAAAAUGGGAACUGGGAUACGGCCCGAACUCCACCGGAGGCAGCAGUGGGGAAUAUUGCACAAUGGGCGGAAGCCUGAUGCAGCAACGCCGCGUGCGGGAUGACGGCCUUCGGGUUGUAAACCGCUUUCGCCUGUGACGAAGCGUGAGUGACGGUAAUGGGUAAAGAAGCACCGGCUAACUACGUG